UAGGGAAUCUUCGGCAAUGGACGGAAGUCUGACCGAGCAACGCCGCGUGAGUGAAGAAGGUUUUCGGAUCGUAAAGCUCUGUUGUAAGAGAAGAACGAGUGUGAGAGUGGAAAGUUCACACUGUGACGGUAUCUUACCAGAAAGGGACGGCUAACUACGUGCCAGCAGCCGCGGUAAUACGUAGGUCCCGAGCGUUGUCCGGAUUUAUUGGGCGUAAAGCGAGCGCAGGCGGUUAGAUAAGUCUGAAGUUAAAGGCUGUGGCUUAACCAUAGUACGCUUUGGAAACUGUUUAACUUGAGUGCAAGAGGGGAGAGUGGAAUUCCAUGUGUAGCGGUGAAAUGCGUAGAUAUAUGGAGGAACACCGGUGGCGAAAGCGGCUCUCUGGCUUGUAACUGACGCUGAGGCUCGAAAGCGUGGGNNGCAAACAGGAUUAGAUACCCUGGUAGUCCACGCCGUAAACGAUGAGUGCUAGGUGUUAGACCCUUUCCGGGGUUUAGUGCCGCAGCUAACGCAUUAAGCACUCCGCCUGGGGAGUACGACCGCAAGGUU
rnacentral:rRNA from 1 species